rnacentral:rRNA from 1 species
GGGUGAGUAAUGCUUGGGAAUCUGGCUUAUGGAGGGGGAUAACGACGGGAAACUGUCGCUAAUACCGCGUAGAGUCGGGAGACGAAAGUGCGGGACCGUAAGGCCGCAUGCCAUAGGAUGAGCCCAAGUGGGAUUAGGUAGUUGGUGGGGUAAAGGCCUACCAAGCCGACGAUCUCUAGCUGGUCUGAGAGGAUGACCAGCCACACCGGGACUGAGACACGGCCCGGACUCCUACGGGAGGCAGCAGUGGGGAAUAUUGCGCAAUGGGGGCAACCCUGACGCAGCCAUGCCGCGUGAAUGAAGAAGGCCUUCGGGUUGUAAAGUUCUUUCGGUGACGAGGAAGGCGUGAUGUUUAAUAGGCAUCACGAUUGACGUUAAUCACAGAAGAAGCACCGGCUAACUCCGUGCCAGCAGCCGCGGUAAUACGGAGGGUGCGAGCGUUAAUCGGAAUAACUGGGCGUAAAGGGCACGCAGGCGGGCUAUUUAAGUGAGGUGUGAAAUCCCCGGGCUUAACCUGGGAAUUGCAUUUCAGACUGGGUAGCUAGAGUACUUUAGGGAGGGGUAGAAUUCCACGUGUAGCGGUGAAAUGCGUAGAGAUGUGGAGGAAUACCGAAGGCGAAGGCAGCCCCUUGGGAAUGUACUGACGCUCAUGUGCGAAAGCGUGGGGAGCAAACAGGAUUAGAUACCCUGGUAGUCCACGCUGUAAACGCUGUCGAUUUGGGGAUUGGGCUUUAAGCUUGGUGCCCGUAGCUAACGUGAUAAAUCGACCGCCUGGGGAGUACGGCCGCAAGGUUAAAACUCAAAUGAAUUGACGGGGGCCCGCACAAGCGGUGGAGCAUGUGGUUUAAUUCGAUGCAACGCGAAGAACCUUACCUACUCUUGACAUCCAUGGAAUUCUGUAGAGAUACGGGAGUGCCUUCGGGAACCAUGAGACAGGUGCUGCAUGGCUGUCGUCAGCUCGUGUUGUGAAAUGUUGGGUUAAGUCCCGCAACGAGCGCAACCCUUAUCCUUUGUUGCCAGCGAUUAGGUCGGGAACUCAAAGGAGACUGCCGGUGAUAAACCGGAGGAAGGUGGGGAUGACGUCAAGUCAUCAUGGCCCNUACGAGUAGGGCUACACACGUGCUACAAUGGCGUAUACAGAGGGCGACGAAGCCGCGAGGUGGAGUGAAUCUCAGAAAGUACGUCUAAGUCCGGAUUGGAGUCUGCAACUCGACUCC